rnacentral:rRNA from 1 species
UCUACUAACUAGACCACCCUGCACGUGUCUGCUCUCACCUCAUCUCAGAAACUAAGCAGAGUUAGGCCUGAUUGGUACUUGAAUGGGUUGAAUGGGUGUCUUGACCUCCUAUGAGUUUCUAGCUUUCUAUAC